GAGGGUUACACAUGAGGGCAAUGUUUCAAGGA
rnacentral:scRNA from 1 species